UGGGGGAAUGCUUUUGAAUUCUAAUUUUUACAUAAAACACGGAGGUUUCUUUAAACUUCGAUCUCAUUAAUCCGGAUGGCUUAAGUAAUAUAAAAUCGAUUGUUUGUUAAUUACUGGGUAUAUCGUAGUUAGUGUGUUUGUAAUUCCUAUUUAGGCUUCAUAUGCAUUAAUUCUUGAUAAGGUAUCCUUUUUUAUUGACGAUACUGAAUGAACGAGUAUGAAUAAAAUGGCUAUUAUGACUUUGAGUACAGUUCCGGUUCCUUGCCGCAAGUAUGAAAAGUUUCUGAACCAAAAUCAUUUGGAACACCACAAUACCUCCUACGAUAUCCUAUUAUCCUGGUACACGAGAGACAUUUUCCAGGUCCCUUGCGUUAUUUCUGAAGCAAGGUUUGAAUGCCAUCUCGUGGCCGCCUCGUCAUUCACCACCAGAUACAACAUUUAGCAGCGAGAAAAUGCAUUACGUAAACAAAUUAAAUAUGAAAGAAAUAUACGAUAGAGAUAUAUAUCUGAACGCAGUUCAUUCCACAUUAAUUUCAUUAAUAAAAAAAGGAAGCCAAAACAUAUCGUGAACGUAAUUAAAUAAAUGUAAUUUGUUAUAGGAAGAGAAACUUUUUUAGACGAUGCAAUACUUGUGCUACAAGCGAUGAUUUCAUUACGUAUUUUCGAUCUACUGACUGUAUAAAAUUCUCAAUAUAUUCGUUACGUUUACUCUCCAAGUAUUGCAUCAGCUGAUAUCGUCCGGUCGCCUACAUUAGCUGUGAAAUUCACAAUUCUCUCUUAAGUUAAAUCGCUAUGCGAUACCCCACACACCGGAAUUGAUAUGUAAUGCCAUCUUGUGGCAGUGAGCGUAACUAUUAGCAACAGUCUUCUCUCCCCCUUGCAUCAGUAGUAGUGCACUCUGGUAGGUAAUUCUGAAAUAGCAGGAACUGUCAGAAUCAAAAGAGUUACUUAGUAAAAGGAAAUAGCAUUGAGCUCAUAAAGCUAGUGUAAUAAAUAUCACGAUUAUUAUGGGGAAAUGUUUUUGAAUUCUAAUUUUGGCUAAACCAGCGAGAAUACUUUAAACUUCGAUCUCAUUAAUCCGGAUGGCUUAAGUAAUAUAAAAUCGAUUGUUUGUUAAUUACUGGGUAUAUCGUAGUUAGUGUGUUUGUAAUUCCUAUUUAGGCUUCAUAUGCAUUCAUUCUUGAUAAGGUAUCCUUUUUUUAUUGACGACAUUGAAUGAACGAGUGCGAAUAAAAUCGCUAUUAUGACUUGGAAUUCAGUUCCGGUUCCUUGCCGCAAGUAUGAAAAAUUUCUGAACCAAAAUCAAUUGGAACACCAAAAUACCUCCUAGGAUAUCCUAUUUUCCUGGUACACGAGAGACAUUUUCCAGGUCCCUUGCGUUAUUUCUGAAGCAAGGUUUGAAUGCCAUCUCGUGGCCGCCUCGUCAUUCACCACCAGAUACAACAUUUAGCAGCGAGAAAAUGCAUUACGUAAACAAAUUAAAUAUGAAAGAAAUAUACGAUAGAGAUAUAUAUCUGAACGCAGUUCAUUCCACAUUAAUUUCAUUAAUAAAAAAAGGAAGCCAAAACAUAUCGUGAACGUAAUUAAAGAAAUGUAAUUUGUUACAGGAAGAGAAACUUUUUUAGACGAUGCAAUACUUGUGCUACAAGCGAUGAUUUCAUUACGUAUUUUCGAUCUACUGACUGUAUAAAAUUCUCAAUAUAUUCGUUACGUUUACUCUCCAAGUAUUGCAUCAGCUGAUAUCGUCCGGUCGCCUACAUUAGCUGUGAAAUUCACAAUUCUCUCUUAAGUUAAAUCGCUAUGCGAUACCCCACACACCGGAAUUGAUAUGUAAUGCCAUCUUGUGGCAGUGAGCGUAACUAUUAGCAACAGUCUUCUCUCCCCCUUGCAUCAGUAGUAGUGCACUCUGGUAGGUAAUUCUGAAAUAGCAGGAACUGUCAGAAUCAAAAGAGUUACUUAGUAAAAGGAAAUAGCAUUGAGCUCAUAAAGCUAGUGUAAUAAAUAUCACGAUUAUUAUGGGGAAAUGUUUUUGAAUUCUAAUUUUGGCUAAACCAGCGAGAAUACUUUAAACUUCGAUCUCAUUAAUCCGGAUGGCUUAAGUAAUAUAAAAUCGAUUGUUUGUUAAUUACUGGGUAUAUCGUAGUUAGUGUGUUUGUAAUUCCUAUUUAGGCUUCAUAUGCAUUCAUUCUUGAUAAGGUAUCCUUUUUUUAUUGACGACAUUGAAUGAACGAGUGCGAAUAAAAUCGCUAUUAUGACUUGGAAUUCAGUUCCGGUUCCUUGCCGCAAGUAUGAAAAAUUUCUGAACCAAAAUCAAUUGGAACACCAAAAUACCUCCUAGGAUAUCCUAUUUUCCUGGUACACGAGAGACAUUUUCCAGGUCCCUUGCGUUAUUUCUGAAGCAAGGUUUGAAUGCCAUCUCGUGGCCGCCUCGUCAUUCACCACCAGAUACAACAUUUAGCAGCGAGAAAAUGCAUUACGUAAACAAAUUAAAUAUGAAAGAAAUAUACGAUAGAGAUAUAUAUCUGAACGCAGUUCAUUCCACAUUAAUUUCAUUAAUAAAAAAAGGAAGCCAAAACUUAUCGUGAACGUAAUUAAAGAAAUGUAAUUUGUUACAGGAAGAGAAACUUUUUUAGACGAUGCAAUACUUGUGCUACAAGCGAUAAUUUCAUUACGUAUUUUCGAUCUACUGACUGUAUAAAAUUCUCAAUAUAUUCGUUACGUUUACUCUCCAAGUAUUGCAUCAGCUGAUAUCGUCCGGUCGCCUACAUUAGCUGUGAAAUUCACAAUUCUCUCUUAAGUUAAAUCGCUAUGCGAUACCCCACACACCGGAAUUGAUAUGUAAUGCCAUCUUGUGGCAGUGAGCGUAACUAUUAGCAACAGUCUUCUCUCCCCCCUGCAUCAGUAGUAGUGCACUCUGGUAGGUAAUUCUGAAAUAGCAGGAACUGUCAGAAUCAAAAGAGUUACUUAGUAAAAGGAAAUAGCAUUGAGCUCAUAAAGCUAGUGUAAUAAAUAUCACGAUUAUUAUGGGGAAAUGUUUUUGAAUUCUAAUUUUUGGCUAAACCAGCGAGAAUACUUUAAACUUCGAUCUCAUUAAUCCGGAUGGCUUAAGUAAUAUAAAAUCGAUUGUUUGUUAAUUACUGGGUAUAUCGUAGUUAGUGUGUUUGUAAUUCCUAUUUAGGCUUCAUAUGCAUUCAUUCUUGAUAAGGUAUCCUUUUUUUAUUGACGACAUUGAAUGAACGAGUGCGAAUAAAAUCGCUAUUAUGACUUGGAAUUCAGUUCCGGUUCCUUGCCGCAAGUAUGAAAAAUUUAUGAACCAAAAUCGAUUGGCACACCAAAAUACCUCCUAGGAUAUCCUAUUAUCCUGGUACACGAGAGUCAUUUUCCAGGUCCCUCACGCUAUUUCUGAAGCAAGGUUUGAAUGCCAUCUCGUGGCCGCCUCGUCAUUCACCACUAGAUACAACAUAUCACGAUUGUUAUGGAGAAAUGCUUUUGAGGCCAGCACAAAGCAGGGCUCUGAGAGGGAAAUGAUUGAAGAGAGGAAACAUCAGGAAGAAGGAGGCAAACAUGGAGUUUGGAAUGAAGUUGAGAUUGUGUCUUGGUAUGUAAUGAACAUCACUCAUGAAGAAUGCCGUCUUCUGGGAUGUGGCACUGUAUAGAUAUUGUGUAAACCUACGUUUUGGAGGAAUGUAUC